rnacentral:rRNA from 1 species
ACUCCUACGGGAGGCAGCAGUUAGGAAUCUUCCCCAAUGGGGGAAAGCCUGAGGGAGCGAUACCGCUUGAAGGACGAAGCCCCUCGGGGUGUAAACUUCUGAACUUGGGACGAUAAUGACAGUACCAAGGUAAUAGCACCGGCUAACUCCGUGCCAGCAGCCGCGGUAAU